rnacentral:piRNA from 1 species
UNCCUAGUGACAGAGUAUGAAUCAGUGGG